rnacentral:rRNA from 1 species
GACGAACGCUGGCGGCGUGCCUAACACAUGCAAGUCGAGCGGGGUUGAAGCGAGGGGUAACUCAAGCUUCUACCUAGCGGCGGACGGGUGAGUAACGCGUGGGCAACCUGCCUCAAGGUCUGGGAUAACAGCUCGAAAGGGCUGCUAAUACCGGAUAUGCCUAUGGCCUCGCAUGGGGCUAUGAGCAAAGGGGAAACCUGCCUUGAGAUGGGCCCGCGUCCCAUCAGCUAGUUGGUGAGGUAACAGCUCACCAAGGCGACGACGGGUAGCCGGCCUGAGAGGGUGACCGGCCACACUGGGACUGAGACACGGCCCAGACUCCUACGGGGGGCAGCAGUGGGGGAUCUUGCACAAUGGGCGAAAGCCUGAUGCAGCGACGCCGCGUGAGCGAAGAAGGCCUCGGUUGUAAGCUCUGUCUGGAGGGACGGAAGGAAGGUAGACGGUACCUCCGGACGGAAGGCCACGGCGUAACUUCGUGCCAGCAGCCGCGGUAACGAUACUCGUA